GGAAAUACCAUAGCUCAGUGGUAGAGCAUCUUCUUUGCACGCAGAAGGUCCCAGGUUCAACCUGUGGCAUCUCCA